GUUUCUGCUGAUAUACAUCAUUGCAUCUAUCUGUCUGUAGAGCGCUUUUUUGGCCAGAUAAACAUUUCCGAUGUGACCACAAGUGCAGGCAAUCUGAGCUGGUCUGAGGGACCCGGUGCUGAGAACAUCAGUCACUACAGAGUGGAGGUCACUGGGGACAAAAACCAGACAUUUAACCGGACUGAACUGUUUCAAUACAUAGAGAAUCUGACAGCAGGAACUCUGUACAAAGUUCAGGUGUUUCCUGUGAAAUGUGGCAGGGAUCUCAAUCCGCAGAAUAUCUCCUUCUACACUUAUCCCUCUGAUGUGCAAAAUCUGAUUGUGGUGAGUGUGACAAAUGUUAGCGCCAACCUCAAGUGGAGUAAACCAGAUGGAAACCAUGAGUCAUACUCGGUAUAUGUCAAAUACAAGUCAAAUAAAAAUGUUACAGAACGAGUCCAAGAGUGUCAAGAUGAAGAGUGCACUAUUACGGCUCUUAUUCCAGGAACCGAGUAUGUAUUCACAGUUACAGCUGUAGUGAAUAAGACGAUUGAAGGUGUGCCGAGCAAUGUUUCUAAUUACACCAUACCUUCAACUGUCAGAAACCUAAGAUCAGCAGACAAUGACAGCACAGUCAUAAUGGCCUUUUGGGAUCCUCCUACUGGUAAUUAUUCAGGUUACCGCUAUUGUCUUGAAGAAGUCAAUAACAGCCGCAAGUGUACUUACUGCAACAUCACAUCAGACAGCAGCAUUACAGCAAACAACGACAUUACAAACUCAGGCAACAGCGAUACAGCAAAAUUCAGUAAUACAGACUGCAAAACAGUGGAUGAAACAGAAACAUUUAUCAAACAGAGUAAUAGAUCAGACGGCAGCAUGUUUUGUGUGUGUGUGGCAGCGCUAAACAAAGAACAACACUCUGUCAGGAGAAAUGGUUCAAAGUAACAAGCAUUCCCAUGAAUACAAGUACAAUUAAAAAAAAAAAAAUAGACUAACUGCUUUUUUUGGAUUUACUUUUCAGUACCUUCAACUGUCAGAAACCUAAGAUCAGCAGACAAUGACAGCACAGUCAUAAUGGCCUUUUGGGAUCCUCCUACUGGUAAUUAUUCAGGUUACCGCUAUUGUCUUGAAGAAGUCAAUAACAGCCGCAAGUGUACUUACUGCAACAUCACAUCAGACAGCAGCAUUACAGCAGACAACGACAUUACAAACUCAGGCAACAGCGAUACAGCAAAAUUCAGUAAUACAGACUGCACAGUCAUAAUGGCCUUUUGGGAUCCUCCUACUGGUAAUUAUUCAGGUUACCGCUAUUGUCUUGAAGAAGUCAAUAACAGCCGCAAGUGUACUUACUGCAACAUCACAUCAGACAGCAGCAUUACAGCAAACAACGACAUUACAAGCUAAUAAGUCAGAUUACACCCGUGAGUAAUCAUUACAUUGCGAUCACUAUUUUUCGAUUAUUUUUCCAGAAGCUUAAAUCACUGUCUUCAUCAGCUUUUCAAGUUCAGCUGUAUAACUUCUCACAAAUCAAUUCACAGGGCCUGCUAAACCUCGUGAUGUAAAGGCCACCGCUAUCAAAAAUAACAUACAGCUAAGCUGGGGUGCUCCAGUUGAGUCUGAGGGUGCCUUGAUUCAAUAUAUAGUGAAAUAUAACACUUCUUUCUGGGAUGAAACUAAUGAAAUAAAUACAACUGAGACAAAUAUCACCAUUCCUUAUUUAAGACCAGGAACAAAAUAUACGUUCAAUGUCAUGGUCUUGGCUGGAAAUCUGAGUGAUCCAGCCACUACUCAUGCAAACACAGGUAAAGAGACUACAUUUUGUUUGUUUAUGAAGCAAACAUUUGGCUUUGUUUACUUCUAUUGCGCUUCAUGAUUAUGCUGUUCAUUCUAACAUGUUAUUAGAAUGAGUAUUUUGAGUAAUUUUUCCAUGUUUAAAAUCGUCUUUUGUUUAUUUCCAGAGCCUGAGUAAGAGGACACUGGUCCUCACGAUGUUGUGUUCCUCUCAAACCGCACUUCAUUGUGACAAACCUGAAACUCGGAAUGAACUGUUUGAAACGGUGAAGAAAUGUUCAAAGACUACAUCAAGCUUGUUGCAACUUUACAGUAACAGAAUUAUUAUGCAAUGAAUGCACACGAGAAAAAAAGAUGAUGAUUAAAAAAACACAAUGACCAACAUUUAUUAAAUAGUAACUAUAUAUAUAUGUGUGUGUGUGUGUGUGUGUGUGUGUGUGUGUGUGUGUGUGUGUGUGUGUGUGUGUGUGUGUGUUUUAUUUAAACCUUUUUAUCUUGAAUGCUAAUUAAAAAAUAAUAAUAAAUAAACAUUCUAAAACAGCUUUGUGCAAAUAGCUGGAAAAUGUAACUGAAAUAAACACAAAUUUUCUUUCUGUCUUUCAGCUGAAAAAAAAAAAUGAUGACAAAUUUCAAGACUUGGUCCACUGGAAGCUUAAAGCAAAAACUAGGUUUGUAAAAAUUCUAAAACAGCUUUGUGCAAAUAGCUGGAAAAUGUAACUGAAAUAAACACAAAUUUUCUUUCUGUCUUUCAGCUGAAAAAAAAAAUAGAUGACAAAUUUCAAGACUUGGUCCACUGGAAGCUUAAAGCAAAAACUAGGUUUGUAAAAACAGCUGGAUUUUUUACAAAUUACUAUGAUUUAUAUUAACCUCUGACUCUCAUUUCACAGCAAAGACAUCCUUUGAAUCUCUAUGAUGUGGCCUACAAUCAAGAAAAAAAUCACACACUGAAAUUUUGUGUGAUUUCAUGCCUGGUGAAUUCUGAAUUUAUUUUCUUACAUUUCCAUGAAUGCAACUUACAAAAGAGGAACAAAAGCAAUGUGUCAGAGAGCCAACAAUAUAUGUUAUAUACAAUUUUAUUAGAUUAGAUUAGGAAACAAGGGAGAGAAGAGGAAACAUUUAGAGAAGAAAUAUAAGUUUUUGGUAAACUUUACGGGAACCAAAUGUCCUCACAGGGAUAGCAAAACCUGAUAUUUUUGACUUUUGCUUGUUUGUUUUUUAUUUUCUGUGCGAGUUUGGGGUGAGGGUAUAGAAUAUUCAGUAUAAAAAUCAUUAUGUCUUUGGAAAGUGCAUUGGUUUAAGAGGUUGUUAAGUGCUUGUUUUUAGCUUCUUGGAGGGUUUUAUUUUGAUUCUCACUCAUUUUUGGGCCUGUAUGGCAAUUUUUUCUUCUUACAAAUUGCAUAUUGACAUUUACUAUAGAUUGAGUGGUGUGAUGAUAUUUGCUAUAGUUGUGGGAGCUAUAAUUCAUCUUCAAAACUGUAACAUGAAUACCUUUUUUUUUAAGACCUUUGCUAUAGCUUCAUUUGAAUUCCAGUUUUAAUGUUCAUGAUGGAUUACUGCUGAUUAUUUUGGGGACUGGUUUCAUUAUAAUUAAAGAUAUUACACAUGGGUUUGUUUGCUUUAUUUCACUACUUUAUGAAAGUAUAAUUACUUUCUUUCCAACUUGUGAUGUUCAUUUACAUCUAUAACCACGAGUCCUCAGUAUUUCUGUCUUGUUUUCCAAAUAUAUAAACAUUCUAAAAUCAAGAUACAUUUACUUGAAAAAUUAUAAAAUAAUAUACAUAUAUAUAUAUAUGAGUAUUAAAUAUAUAUGUCGAAUAUAUAUAUAUAUAUAUAUAUAUAUAUAUAAAAAAGCAGAAUAUGACCAUCACGGAUCUCUUGUUGUAAUAGAACACUCCCACCGUGUGCUCUACUGCAUUAAUGCAUCGAUACAAGAGGCACAAUCCACAUACAACAUAAUGUGAUUGUGAAAGUGAUGUGACGUGUAGCCAAGUGCAUACACAUAACUAUAGACUGAGCAAGUAAUACGUCUCAUAGCCCUACUAAUUCACCCAUCAAAAUCUCACUCCAGCCAGGAAAGUGAAUUUGUCAGCCCUGGUUUAUUCAAAGAAUCAGACCUCCUUCCAGACUUUCUGAACGCCUGGUUUAUUCAAAGAAUCAGACCUCCUUCCAGACUUUCUGAACGGCGUCAUGCCAGAUAAUGUGAACAAAAACACACAUUUCUCUUAUCCUACAUGUACAAACAUAGAGUAGUGCGAGCAUGAAUGCUCAAACACAGCCUUCACAGGUCAACUGCUCGUAAUAAACACUGAACUGAGUUAAGGACCGUUCAGAUAUAGAAAAGAAGAGGCUGCUAAUAGCCUACAGUACAUUGUCUAUGACUGAUAAAUAGGCGUCCAUCACUUCAAAACAUAUUUAAGAGUCCAUGCGUUCACGAUAUACAUAUAGUGCAAUAAAUAUAUGCAAAAACCUCUAAGAACAUUAAAAGUCCAGUUUUCUUCUUGUGAUUAGAACAUUAUUUAAAGAUUACUAAAAAAUAAAUUAAUUAAUUCUUAGAACUUUCAAGUACAAAAAAACUCAUGAGAACAUUCUGAGAACAUUCUAAGAAUGUUUUCUCUGAACAUUGCGAGAAAGUUACAUAAGUAUUAACUCUAAGAAUGUUUUGUCCUAACAUUUAUAUAACUUUAAAAAACAUAUUGAGAGUCCUGAGAAGGUUCCCUGUUAGCUGGGAAUGUUCUCUGCACUUUGGCUUACAUUCUGGCUAAAGUUCUACUUAAAGUAACAGGUAACACUUAUUCACGUUUAACUACAAAUGUUCCCUCAAUAAAUUCCUAAUUUCCUCUUUAUUAAUAGUUAGUAAGGUAGUUUUUAAGUUUAGGUACUAGAUUCAAUCAAAGAGUGCAGCAGCCAAUUGAACCAGGUGAUAAUUUCAUAACAGCCCUGUAUGCUCUUGCAGAAAACUGUACUCAAGAAUACAUCCAUUCCAGUCACGGAAGACUCUGAUUUGAAUUUACAACAUUCAUUUUAACAAACAAACAUGUUAGUACACACAAAUAAAAUUAAAUAAAAAGUGCCGCGCGAACUAUUCGUGUGGCGUAGUGCAUGGCAUUUUUUGUAACUUUCCGCAUAGCUCCGCAUCCGAACAUACAUGAGUUCAGGGUGAUUCUAGCUGAACAUGCACGUCUGUGCCGGCGUUUGUGUGAAACAGAAGUUUAAUGUGAAGUUCCAACUCCCUUAGGUGCUUUUUGACAGAAAGCGUGUUUGAAAAAAUGUCCAAGGCUUC
rnacentral:lncRNA from 1 species